rnacentral:rRNA from 1 species
GAUGAACGCUGGCGGCGUGCUUAACACAUGCAAGUCGAACGGAAAGGCCACAGCUUGCUGUGGUACUCGAGUGGCGAACGGGUGAGUAACACGUGGGUGAUCUGCCCUGUACUUCGGGAUAAGCUUGGGAAACUGGGUCUAAUACCGGAUAGGAAUCACAUGUGGGUGUGUGGUUGGAAAGCUUUUGCGGUAUGGGAUGAGCUCGCGGCCUAUCAGCUUGUUGGUGGGGUAAUGGCCUACCAAGGCGUCGACGGGUAGCCGGCCUGAGAGGGUGUACGGCCACAUUGGGACUGAGAUACGGACCAGACUCCUACGGGAGGCAGAAGUGGGGAAUAUUGCACAAUGGGCGCAAGCCUGAUGCAGCGACGCCGCGUGGGGGAUGACGGCCUUCGGGUUGUAAUCUCCUUUCGUCAGGGACGAAGCGAAAGUGACGGUACCUGGAUAAGAAGCACCGGCUAACUACGUG